rnacentral:lncRNA from 1 species
GUUCAACCUUGACUGCCCCUCAUUCGGCUUCCAGAGGCACAGAGAGACUGAGGGGCCUUAGGCUGGACCGUGGAAUCAACAUCUAGCUGCGUGAGACCCGAACACGGAGACGCAGGCCCCCGCCUUCAUCGCUCGCCAAUGGGGGGCGGGCAGGAGAAGACGGUGGGCCUCUCCCUGCCCCUGGUGUUGCUGACGGGGGCCAGGAAGCCGCUGGCAGCAGGCAGCGGCCACCGGAGAGAGAGGGGUGCGGGUCAAGGCCAGCGGUGGGGUGGCCCGCCCUGCGGGUGUCGCGCAGGAGGGUGGGGAUCGGGAGCCCCAGCUUCCGCGGCCUAGGCUCAAAGGGCGGCCCAGCAGGCAGGCCCCGAGGGGAGCACAACCCGAGCCCCGAGGGCCUGGGCGCCUGCCGAGCGACUCCAGGCGAGAAAAGCAAGGAAUUCGGCGCCUAGGCAGCGCGCGUUUCCAACUGCCAGACCCAGCUCGGAGGCCCGAAACUGACCUGCUUUUGGGGCGUCCAUCGCCGGAGACCAUAUUAUCCCUCCGGGGAGGGGGCCAGCGGGGGAAGAAGGGGGAGGCCGGGCAGGGAAGACGGGGAGGAAGACAGGCGGACUGGCAAGGGAGGAAAGAAGGAAGCAGGCUCGCGCAAAUAUCG